AAAUUAGUUCAACCUGAAGCUCAAAGGCAGUCUGGAAGAUGUUAUGUUGUGGCUGAUACCUUCUAUACAGCAAGUAUUCAAAAUCUGCCUCUCACGUAAGGCCCUGCUCACUCACCAGUGGUAUACCUCAUGGCCUCUCCUGGCUGCUGUCUUGGGGUUGGAUACGAGCAAAACAGCAAAAGUCCUCCUAACUUAUGGGGUGUCCACUCAUGGGAAACAUCCACAUACCUGCCUGAACUAUCAGUAAGAUUGCAGAUGGGUCCAAUGCUAU